ACGCGAGCGCUAAGGUUCAUGAAUGGGCACGGCGAUUCAAAGAUGGCAGUAGCACUCAAAGUAACAGUGAAAGUGACAGAUGGAAUCAUCUCUUUGGAAAAUCCAACGCAAUGGCGACGACUUGACUCGUAACUACUUCCCUAACUCAACUCACAGGAAACCCCCAUUUCCCAAAUCCCACAAAUUUGCAUCAAUUUCAGUUCAGUUUUUGCUCACUCAACCCACUUCCUUCCUGGUAGAAACACAACUAGUAUAUUAGUGGGUUGGGGACUACAUGCUUUUUACGCGCCCCUGGCCGGUUUCCAAUACUCAACAAGACCUGUUAUUUGUCGAAUAACACACCUGCUAGUUCCUGCUGCUGUGUUUCAUGUUGCUGCAUUCCGAAUAUCAUAGAUGGUAGUCUUUGCCUUAUAAGUGCUAUGAAUUAGCUUCGCAUUGAAGUAUAUAGAUAUACUAUACCAGGCUGUUUAUACAGAUGGUUAAAACCAUUUAUUAAGGAUUCAAAUGAAAGUACAUCUCAUAUAAAAUGAAGGCAUGGUAAAUGCCUUGUAUGACUACAUUGAUCAUAGUUUAUAAAGUCAAUAGUUGUGGCCUCCGAAUUAAUACGGUUGCCAGAAAUUUACCUAGUUAUGGGAAGAAUAGUGAUCUUCAAAUUUAAUGAUCCAAUAAUAACUAAGUCUAUUUUUUUCUUAAUUUCAUAAAAA